CUUUGAUGAUGGCGACCGGCGCACGGGUGAGUAACACGUAUCCACCUGCCGACAACACUGGGAUAGCCUUUCGAAAGAAAGAUUAAUACCGGAUGGCUCCGCAUGGGUAAAGAAUUUCGGUUGUCGAUGGGGAUGCGUUCCAUUAGGCAGUUGGCGGGGUAACGGCCCACCAAACCUACGAUGGAUAGGGGUUCUGAGAGGAAGGUCCCCCACAUUGGAACUGAGACACGGUCCAAACUCUACGGGAGGCAGCAGUGAGGAAUAUUGGUCAAUGGACGAGAGUCUGAACCAGCCAAGUAGCGUGAAGGAUGACUGCCUAUGGGUUGUAAACUUCUUUUAUACGGGAAUAAGUGAGCCACGUGUGGCUUUUUGUAUGUACCGUAUGAAUAAGGAUCGGCUAACUCCGUGCCAGCAGCCGCGGUAAUACGGAGGAUCCGAGCGUUAUCCGGAUUUAUUGGGUUUAAAGGGAGCGUAGGCGGGUUGUUAAGUCAGUUGUGAAAGUUUGCGGCUCAACCGUAAAAUUGCAGUUGAUACUGGCGACCUUGAGUGCAACAGAGGUAGGCGGAAUUCGUGGUGUAGCGGUGAAAUGCUUAGAUAUCACGAAGAACUCCGAUUGCGAAGGCAGCUUACUGGAUUGUAACUGACGCUGAUGCUCGAAAGUG
rnacentral:rRNA from 1 species